rnacentral:rRNA from 1 species
CUACUCUUGACAUCCAGAGAAUUCGCUAGAGAUAGCUUAGUGCCUUCGGGAACUCUGAGACAGGUGCUGCAUGGCUGUCGUCAGCUCGUGUUGUGAAAUGUUGGGUUAAGUCCCGCAACGAGCGCAACCCUUAUCCUUGUUUGCCAGCACGUAAUGGUGGGAACUCCAGGGAGACUGCCGGUGAUAAACCGGAGGAAGGUGGGGACGACGUCAAGUCAUCAUGGCCCUUACGAGUAGGGCUACACACGUGCUACAAUGGCGUAUACAGAGGGCUGCAAGCCAGCGAUAGUGAGCGAAUCCCACAAAGUCCGUCGUAGUCCGGAUUGGAGUCUGCAACUCGACUCCAUGAAGUCGGAAUCGCUAGUAAUCGUGAAUCAGAAUGUCACGGUGAAUACGUU